ensembl:lincRNA
CUGAAUUGAACCAAUCUCCUCUCUUACGGGUGAUCACAGCAAGGGUAAGUACACUAAGUGAAUCAGGAAAAGAGAUUGCUGGCAGGGAUGUCUGCAGACAAGGCGUGAAAGAGCGCUUCUCUGGGUCUUACCAGGGCAAUCACAUUAUGGGAAGAGAAACUUUCUAUCAACUAGGAAGAAAAGGUUAUUAUCCGGGAAGUCCUCUUUUUUUCACCUGGUCACUGUGAAACACCAUGGGUUAAGAAGAAAGUAAGUGGCAUUCGAACACACAGCAGCCAAGGCACCCUGAUGCGUACUUUGUUCCUGUGAUCUUCCUUGUGACGUAGAUGUCUUUCUCCCUCAUGAGACCCAGGAGACUACGGCAGAGACGCUGGGUAACUCGCCCACAAUCACUCAAGCAAAGAAAAACGAAAUUAAAGAAGGGAACAUCAAUAAUCGUUGCCCUCCUCUCACCACCAAGAACACCAAGCUAAUGCACAAAAGAGAACACUUAAAAAAUAUUCUGGACUUACAGGCUUUUUCCAAUUUACUAUACAUGUUUACUUUCACCGGUUUUGAUAAGGAAAUACAUGAUUUUUUUUCCUGUGCAAUUUUUCUCUGUCUUGAACAUCUGAAAGCAGACAGAUUUGCAAAUCCAUCAUCAAGAAUCUUCACACUGUUUUCCAAAGUGGCUGCACCAACUUGCAUUCCCACCAACAGUUUAACAGGGCUCCCCUUUCUCCACAUCCUAAACAAUGAAUCUUGGAAUGCUGGGGGAAAAAAAAAGAGAUCCUAAACAAACAAACAACCAACCAAAAACAAGGCAAUGGAAGGUGUUUUUGUUUUCAAGGAAAGGACAGUAGCUUUGUCUUAAAAAAUUUGGUUCUUCCAGGGCGCCUGGGUGGCUCAAUGGGUUAAGCCUCUGCCUUCGGCUCAGGUCAUGAUCUCAGGGUCCUGGGAUUGAGUUCCACAUCGGGCUCUCUACUUAGCAGGGAGCCUGCCUCCCCCGCUCUGUCUCUACCAGUCUCUCUGCCUACUUGUGAUCUCUCUCUCUCUCUCUGUGUCAAAUAAAUAAAUAAAAUUAAAAAAAAAAAAAACAAAACAUUCCAGAAUGUAAAAGAGGAUUGUGUGAGACAAACAUUUGAUACAGAAAGUUAUAGUUGGCAGAAAAAAAAAAGCAAACUAUUUGUCUCAAACUGCAAGCUAGGAGCCUGAAAAGAAUAAAAUGUAUUCAAGUUUUGACAAAGUUCACUCCGUUUUGGUGGAUUUAUUUGUAAGAUAAUUUAAAAAAGUAAAGCAGGGAAUUAAUGAAUCCUUUAUUACUAGAUAGAAUAUUAAUGCUAAACUAGAAUUUGAUUUUUUAAAUACUAAAAUGACAGUUUAUCUUGAACUAUUUGUCCUUCUCUUAACAAGGGAUAGUAAAUAGUUAUUCUUUCACAUUCUCUGUGAUCUGUCUGCAUGGCAGAAAUUCCAUAUCCCAUCAAAACAAUCUUCUGUAUUUUGUGCUGACUUUGUUAAGCCCUUGAUUAUCAAGCAACAAGAACAUAAAGUUCCACAUUUCUGAAAUAUCUAAGAUUCCUUUCAAUUGUGUUACCUUCUUGUCAUUUAGAAUACUAUAUUGUCACUUUGAAUAAGAGGUAGCCAACUUAUAGUUUCUCAGGCACACCUGAUCCUGUCAUAAUCAGUGAUCUAAAGUACUCUGAUAACUCUUUUGAUUUUGCUUUCCCAUGAUCAUAUCCCAGAUUUGGAAAUAUUAAAAUUUCAGGAUUUUUCUUGUAAAAAUCCUUUUCAUGUAAAACUUCUUUGAAAAUUUCCCAUAAGCCUCCUAAAAGUUCAUGAAGAUUUGUUGUUUUGCCUUAUAAAAGAAGUGAUGCCCCAAAUAGUUGUUUUCUGUAUUUCCUUGAUUAGCUCAAUAUUACUGUAAAAACUAAUCAAAAUAGCAGUCAAAAUAAAAGGUAAGUUUUAUAGAUAAAAUAAGACUCACAUACAGGUUUCUGAGAUUGUACAUAUAACAGAAUGAAUAAAAAGGUCCUGGAGAUCUGUCAGCGCUCUCACUAAUCAUAAUACAACCUUAUUCCUGGGAAAAAUACUAAUCAUAUUAUUACAAAAAAUUAUGUCCUGCACUCAAUACAGAUUGUAUUCACUUCAAUUUUGGCAUUGUUCAUUACCAAUGGUAAAAUAACUGUAAUCACUUAGUCUUGUGAUUCCUGUUAUCUUCUGAAACUUGCCAAAAGGUACGGAAGUUAACAUUUGUAUCUUCACCAAAGAAAGACAAUCUCAGAAUUUCACAGAAAGAACUGUACUGUGUUCUUUUAACUGUUGAUAUCAACAAUUGGCUCAGGAGUUGCAACUCUAGAGCGUAGAGAUAACACUGCCUGCGCAGUUGUCAGGUAUAUGUGGGAAUGGUUGGGAUUUCCAAGACCUGUUCUACUUCAGAAACAGAUGACUUCACAAAAGCAGCCUGAUGACCCAAGAUGUAGCAGAACAAGAAAUAAAUACAUAAAUGAACAAAACGAACUAAAUUUAAUCAUAGAUCCUUGGUUUGGAAUACUGAUGGUAGUUAUUUGUUAUCUAUUUUCUGAUACUUGUAUGAAGAAGUCCUUUCUUUUACUUGUUAACUUACCUCUAACUCUCUAACUCUCAACAUCAAGUGAAUGUUUUAAAAAUAGCUUCUAAGACUUAGUGCCUCCUUCAUAAUUUAAAACCAAUUGUGUAUACUGAGCCUCUAUAUCUUACAUCAAAAUAAAGUUACCUGCAUA